UGGGGGAUAUUGCACAAUGGGCGAAAGCCUGAUGCAGCGACGCCGCGUGGGGGAUGAAGGCUUUCGGGUUGUAAACCUCUUUCGCUAUCGAACAAGGCCCGCUUAGGGUGGGUUGAGGGUAGGUGGAGAAGAAGCGCCGGCUAACUACGUGCUAGCAGCCGCGGUAAUACGCAGGGCGCGAGCGUUGUCCGGAAUUAUUGGGCGUAAAGGGCUUGUAGGCGGCUUGUUGCGCCUGCUGUGAAAACGCGGGGCUUAACUUCGCGCGUGCAGUGGGUACGGGCAGGCUUGAGUGUGGUAGGGGUGACUGGAAUUCCAGGUGUAGCGGUGGAAUGCGCAGAUAUCUGGAGGAACACCGAUGGCGAAGGCAGGUCACUGGGCCAUUACUGACGCUGAGGAGCGAAAGCAUGGGUAGCGAACAGG
rnacentral:rRNA from 1 species